rnacentral:rRNA from 1 species
ACACGUAGGGGCCUGACGUUGUUCGGAAUCAUUGGGCGUAAAGGGCGCGCAGGCGGCCGUCCAAGUCCGGUGUUAAAUGGUCGGGCUCAACCCGAUCCUGCGCUGGAAACUGGGCGGCUUGCGUCCCGUCGGGGAUGCCGGAAUUCCAGGUGUAGGGGUGAAAUCUGUAGAUAUUUGGAAGAACACCGUUGGCGAAGGCAGGCAUCUGGCCGGAGACUGACGCUGAGGCGCGAAGGCGCGGGGAGCGAACAGGUUUAGAUACCCUGGUAGUCCGCGCAGUAAACGAUGCGCACCAGGUGUCGGGCGGCAGCGCCCGGUACCGGAGCUAACGCGAUGAGUGCGCCGCCUGGGGAGUAUGCCCGCAAGGGUGAAACUCAAAUGAAUUGGCGGGG